GGCGUGCCUAAUACAUGCAAGUAGAACGCUGAAGAGAGGAGCUUGCUCUUCUUGGAUGAGUUGCGAACGGGUGAGUAACGCGUAGGUAACCUGCCUUGUAGCGGGGGAUAACUAUUGGAAACGAUAGCUAAUACCGCAUAACAAUGGAUGACACAUGUCAUUUAUUUGAAAGGGGCAAUUGCUCCACUACAAGAUGGACCUGCGUUGUAUUAGCUAGUAGGUGAGGUAAUGGCUCACCUAGGCGACGAUACAUAGCCGACCUGAGAGGGUGAUCGGCCACACUGGGACUGAGACACGGCCCAGACUCCUACGGGAGGCAGCAGUAGGGAAUCUUCGGCAAUGGGGGCAACCCUGACCGAGCAACGCCGCGUGAGUGAAGAAGGUUUUCGGAUCGUAAAGCUCUGUUGUAAGUCAAGAACGGGUGUGAGAGUGGAAAGUUCACACUGUGACGGUAGCUUACCAGAAAGGGACGGCUAACUACGUGCCAGCAGCCGCGGUAAUACGUAGGUCCCGAGCGUUGUCCGGAUUUAUUGGGCGUAAAGCGAGCGCAGGCGGUUUGAUAAGUCUGAAGUUAAAGGCUGUGGCUCAACCAUAGUUCGCUUUGGAAACUGUCAAACUUGAGUGCAGAAGGGGAGAGUGGAAUUCCAUGUGUAGCGGUGAAAUGCGUAGAUAUAUGGAGGAACACCGGUGGCGAAAGCGGCUCUCUGGUCUGUAACUGACGCUGAGGCUCGAAAGCGUGGGGAGCGAACAGGAUUAGAUACCCUGGUAGUCCACGCCGUAAACGAUGAGUGCUAGGUGUUGGAUCCUUUCCGGGAUUCAGUGCCGCAGCUAACGCAUUAAGCACUCCGCCUGGGGAGUACGACCGCAAGGUUGAAACUCAAAGGAAUUGACGGGGGCCCGCACAAGCGGUGGAGCAUGUGGUUUAAUUCGAAGCAACGCGAAGAACCUUACCAGGUCUUGACAUCCCGAUGCUAUUUCUAGAGAUAGAAAGUUACUUCGGUACAUCGGUGACAGGUGGUGCAUGGUUGUCGUCAGCUCGUGUCGUGAGAUGUUGGGUUAAGUCCCGCAACGAGCGCAACCCCUAUUGUUAGUUGCCAUCAUUCAGUUGGGCACUCUAGCGAGACUGCCGGUAAUAAACCGGAGGAAGGUGGGGAUGACGUCAAAUCAUCAUGCCCCUUAUGACCUGGGCUACACACGUGCUACAAUGGUUGGUACAACGAGUUGCGAGUCGGUGACGGCGAGCUAAUCUCUUANAGCCAAUCUCAGUUCGGAUUGUAGGCUGCAACUCGCCUACAUGAAGUCGGAAUCGCUAGUAAUCGCGGAUCAGCACGCCGCGGUGAAUACGUUCCCGGGCCUUGUACACACCGCCCGUCACACCACGAGAGUUUGUAACACCCGAAGUCGGUGAGGUAACCUUUUGGAGCCAGCCGCCUAAGGUGGGACAGAUGAU
rnacentral:rRNA from 1 species